GACGAACGCUGGCGGCGUGCCUAAUACAUGCAAGUCGAGCGGACGGAUGGGAGCUUGCUCCCAGACCGUCAGCGGCGGACGGGUGAGUAACACGUGGGCAACCUGCCUGUAAGACUGGGAUAACUCCGGGAAACCGGGGCUAAUACCGGAUAACUCUUUCCCUCACAUGAGGGAAAGCUGAAAGAUGGCAUCUCGCUAUCACUUACAGAUGGGCCCGCGGCGCAUUAGCUAGUUGGUGAGGUAACGGCUCACCAAGGCGACGAUGCGUAGCCGACCUGAGAGGGUGAUCGGCCACACUGGGACUGAGACACGGCCCAGACUCCUACGGGAGGCAGCAGUAGGGAAUCUUCCGCAAUGGACGAAAGUCUGACGGAGCAACGCCGCGUGAGUGAUGAAGGUUUUCGGAUCGCAAAACUCUGUUGUCAGGGAAGAACAAGUACCGGAGUAACUGCCGGUACCUUGACGGUACCUGACCAGAAAGCCACGGCUAACUACGUG
rnacentral:rRNA from 1 species